UGUACCUGCACAUGAUGAAAACUAUGUUGGUAGGGACAUCUGAGAGGGUGAUGAAUGCCAACAUAAUCUGAGCUGGGCA
rnacentral:snoRNA from 1 species